AUGUUUGUUGGUGAUGCUGAGAGUGAACCAAGGGCCUACUGCACAUUAGCUGCAAAAGACAAGGAAAAGAAUAAAGAGAAAAAAUUCAAAGAGUUUGUGAGAGUGAAACCAAAGAAGAAGAAGAAAAAGAAAAAGAAAACCAAACCUGAAUGCCCCUGCAGUGAGGAGAUCAGUGACACUUCCCAGGAACCAUCGCCACCCAAGGCAUUUGGUGUGACAAGGUGUGGGUCCUCACACAAGCCUGUAGUCCAUAUGAGCCCACAGCUCCAUGGCACAGAAACUGGCAACCACAAAGGGAAAUUGAAAGCAUCUGGUAAGGACACUCACUGUGGCCUGAAGAUACAUUAGAAAAUAGUACUUAGAUAGUGUCUGGUACAGAAGAAGUGUUUCCUUGUCCUAGGCGGGGAGUGGUGGUAAAAGUUAGCGGUGACUCUGGUUCUGAUUGUCCCUGGGAUUCUUCACUCCAUCCCCACUGUUUGCAGAGUGUAAAAGAACUGUGGACACAGAUUGACAGCAAAGCAGGUCCUGGCUGGAUGGGGAAUGCUGAGCAACAUGUUAGAGGUGCCAUGGGUGAUGGACUGUAUGGUUCAUAGAGACUUGUAGCUUCUUUGCCAACAAGCUCUGUGACCUUGAGCACCCACUGACCUUGGGCUUCAUGUUCUCCCGGUGAAAUGGGGAAAGGAGUGUUUUGAGGCAGCGUAUUCUGUUUGGGCUGUUACUAAUGACAAACCCAGGGGACAGAUUGGUACCUCCAUUUCCCAGCCCUGAGCAGCUCCUGGAGGAGUGGGUCUAUAAGUCAUUUUCCACUCUGGACACUAGGAUUUUAUAAAAUUUGCAGCUCUAAUUUAAAAUAGUAACUGUUGCUUUCCUUCUUCUUCCAGAGGAGGAUAAUUUGAGUGAGUCCUCUUCUGAGAGUUUUCUUUGGAGUGAUGAGGAGUAUGGUCAAGAUGUUGAUGUGACUACCAACCCAGAUGAGGAACUUGAUGGGGAUGACCGCUAUGAUUUUGAGGUGGUCCGUUGCAUCUGUGAAGUCCAGGAGGAAAAUGAUUUCAUGAUUCAGGUAAGUAGACCUUCCAGAACAUAGGUCUAUAGAAGAAAAAAUAAAAUACACUGGUCCUUGGAGAGAAGUUGAGGCCAGCAGUAGUGGUGAGUCACAUCCAAAGCCCCAGAUAUUUGGUACUAAUAGUAGCAGACCAAGUUUGCUUCUGGUUUGAUUUUCUGGGAAUUUCAGGCUGCUGUAAAUAGACCAUCAAUAGAAUCAAAGAGGCUUUGAGAAAUCAUUGAUUACAAACCUCUCGUCCUCUGCUUAAAUCAUUUGAAGCCUGCUCUGGGUUAAGGACCUUACCAUUGGUCGCACAGUGAGGAGUUGGAUAGCAGGGACUCAAACUUUGGGGUGGCAGUUUAACCUUAUGUAUCAUCUUCUCCUUGAGGUAAAUUUUCUUUGUGGCCUGAAGAAAUGGAGACUGGUUUUAUAACUUCUUUUUUGUUUUGUUUUGUUUUAUAACUUCUUUGUUUCUUAUUGUUUUCCUGACAUGUCUGUCAUCUUCCUCCUUGGGAUGUGCCUGUGGGGUGGGACCUCCCUACCUACUUGAGGAAUCCAUCACUGGCCCCUUCUGUUUGUCACUUGCAGUUCUGGUGGAGGUGGCUGCUGUCUGGCUGACUCUGAGGACUGUCAUAAAUAUCCUAGGUAUCUUGGUAGCUGCCUAGCUGGCCAGGAAACCUGAGUUUUUUGAAAGUAAGUCAUGCUUAUAUUAGUUAGCAUUCUUUUAGGAGCAAGUACAGACAUUAUAGACAGGGUCUAGGAAUGCAAAGGCUUGCUCACAUUGUUUCCUGUUUCUUUCCAGAGUCAAUUUGGUUGUUUUCCUUUUUCCUACUUCUUCUCUUUAUUUAUUUUGUAUGUUACUACUUACUUAUUGUCUUAGAAAAUAUAAAAUGGUCACAUACCUGUGUCCCCUUCUCAUUUUCUCUUUUACCUUUUUGUGUUCAAGAGAUUAGGUAGGUUGAGGUUGGAAUCUCAGUUCCAAUUCUGAAUUCCCAGGCAAGGAAUUCCAGCCUGGCUCAGGUGAAUAAUAGCUGUUAGGGAGGUAGAGAGGUUUAUAUCCUUGAUCUACUCAUCUGGUCUGGAGUUGGGUGGAGAUUGAGGGGUGUGGGGAGCUUCAUUAGAAAGGCUGCCUGGACCCUACACCUCUGUUAUUGUGUGACCAGUAGGGUUAGCUGUUCCUGGUGGAGAAGGCUCCUGUCCAUCUCCUAGUAAGAGUUUACCUGGUCUGUGGAAAUUAUGAGAAGAAGGCCUAGCCCUCCUUGGCUUACUUUCUCUGUUAGGGUAUUAUUUCCUUACCCUAAUAGUAUUGGGGUUUUUUUAGGUUUCUUUGGUACCGGGGAUCGAACUCGGGACCUUGUGCUUGCGAGGCAGGCACCAGAACCACUGAGCUAAAUCCCCGGCCCCUUACCCUAAUAGUAUUAUAGGUCAGUGUGGCAUCAGUUUUUGAAACUCACUUUUGGAUUUUGGUUUAAUAUAUUGUUGAAUUUAUGUCUCUGCCUUUUUUUUUUUUUUUUGCUUAAAUUCUUUUAUUGGUACAUUUUAGGUAUAUAAUACGUUUACAUUUAUCAUUGGGUGCUUGUACCUGUACAUGAUGUAUCUUGGUUCUUAUUUUUUCCCCAUUCCCUGUGCGCCCUUCACCCCUCCACCCUUCCCUAUUUACAUAGACUUCGUUUCCAUUUUUUUUCUUUUCUCAUAAUGUUUCCUUUCCAUUCUUUCCUUUCCCUAUCUCCUCCCACCACCCCUACCCCUUUCGACCUUUUCCUAUUUCAAAGUAGCAAUUAAUGACUCUGAUUUUGAAUUUGUCUUUUCAUAAAUAACAUUCUCCUUUCCUUUGAUUUCUUGACAUACUAGUCUUUCCCAUAAUUCUUUAAACUUUCAGAAAGAGCAGGCUGGGCAUGGUGGUGCAUGCCUGUAACCCCAGCACUUGAGAGGCUGAGGUAGGAGGAUUACUGCAAGUUUGAGGCCAGCCUGAAAUACAUAGUGAGACUUUUUCUCAAGAAACAAAACAGAGAGUGAGGAGUAGGCCCACUUACUUUUUCACUUCUUAUUUAUCAAGUGCUUUUUUAAAAUUUCUGUUU
rnacentral:lncRNA from 1 species